UGCUUGUUAACAUUGUUCCUGAGUUGCUGCCUCCCCCUCAUUCUCUUUUGUCUUCCCAUUCAGUGGCUUAUGACUACACUUUGUUAUAUGAAGAGGCAAAAUAUUUUCAGCUUCAGCCCAUGUUGUUGGAGAUGGAAAGAUGGAAGCAGGACAGAGAAACUGGUCGCUUUUCAAGGCCCUGUGAGUGCCUCGUCGUGCGUGUGGCCCCAGACCUCGGAGAAAGGAUCACGCUAAGUGGUGACAAAUCCUUGAUAGAAGAAGUAUUUCCAGAGAUCGGCGACGUGAUGUGUAAUUCUGUCAAUGCAGGCUGGAAUCACGACUCGACGCACGUCAUCAGGUUUCCACUAAAUGGCUACUGUCACCUCAACUCAGUCCAGGUCCUCGAGAGGUUGCAGCAAAGAGGAUUUGAAAUCGUGGGCUCCUGUGGGGGAGGAGUGGACUCGUCCCAGUUCAGCGAAUAUGUCCUUCGGCGGGAACUGAGGCGGACGCCCCGCGUACCCUCCGUCAUC
rnacentral:sRNA from 1 species